CCUACGGGGGGCAGCAGUGGGGAAUAUUGCACAAUGGGGGAAACCCUGAUGCAGCAACGCCGCGUGAGUGAAGAAGUAUUUCGGUAUGUAAAGCUCUAUCAGCAGGGAAGAGAAUGACGGUACCUGACUAAGAAGCCCCGGCUAACUACGUGCCAGCAGCCGCGGUAAUACGUAGGGGGCGAGCGUUAUCCGGAUUUACUGGGUGUAAAGGGAGCGCAGGCGGCUUGGCAAGUCUGAUGUGAAAGGCUGGGGCUCAACCCCAGGACUGCAUUGGAAACUGUUAGGCUGGAGUGUCGGAGAGGUAA
rnacentral:rRNA from 1 species